CUACGGGAGGCACCAGGCGAGAAAACUUUGCAAUGUGCGAAAGCACGACAAGGUUAAUCCGAGUGGUUCCUGCUAAAGGAAUCUUUUGUUAGUCGUAACACCACUGAUGAAUAAGGGGUGGGCAAGUUCUGGUGUCAGCCGCCGCGGUAAAACCAGCACCUCAAGUGGUCAGGAGGAUUAUUGGGCCUAAAGCAUCCGUAGCCGGCUUUGUUAGUUUUCGGUUAAAUCUAUACGCUCAACGUAUGGGCUGCCGGGAAUACUGCAAAGCUAGGGAGUGGGAGAGGUAGACGGUACUCCGUAGGAAGGGGUAAAAUCCUUUGAUCUAUGGAUGACCACCUGUGGCGAAGGCGGUCUACCAGAACACGUCCGACGGUGAGGGAUGAAAGCUGGGGGAGCAAACCGGAUUAGAUACCCGCGUAGUC
rnacentral:rRNA from 1 species